GAAAUACUCCCUCCGUUCCGAAUUACUUGUCGCAGGUAUGAAUGUAUCCAGAUGUAUUUUAAUUCUAAAUACAUCCAUUUCUACGACAAGUAAUUUGAAACGGAGGGAGUAGUAG
rfam:Triticum urartu cultivar G1812 contig334753, whole genome shotgun sequence.